GAUGAACGCUGGCGGCGUGCCUAAUACAUGCAAGUCGAGCGAACAGACGAGGAGCUUGCUCCUCUGACGUUAGCGGCGGACGGGUGAGUAACACGUGGAUAACCUACCUAUAAGACUGGGAUAACUUCGGGAAACCGGAGCUAAUACCGGAUAAUAUAUUGAACCGCAUGGUUCAAUAGUGAAAGACGGUUUUGCUGUCACUUAUAGAUGGAUCCGCGCCGCAUUAGCUAGUUGGUAAGGUAACGGCUUACCAAGGCAACGAUGCGUAGCCGACCUGAGAGGGUGAUCGGCCACACUGGAACUGAGACACGGUCCAGACUCCUACGGGAGGCAGCAGUAGGGAAUCUGCCGCAAUGGGCGAAAGCAUGACGGAGCAACGCCGCGUGAGUGAUGAAGGUCUUCGGAUCGUAAAGCUCUGUUAUUGGGGAAGAACAAAUGUGUAAGUAACUAUGCACGUCUUGACGGUACCUAAUCAAAAAGCCACGGCUAACUACGUG
rnacentral:rRNA from 1 species